rnacentral:rRNA from 1 species
CUACAAAGGAAGUUAGACGGGGCCCGCACAAGCGGUGGAGCAUGUGGUUUAAUUCGAUGCAACGCGAAGAACCUUACCUGGUCUUGACAUCCCGGAGACCCUUAGGAACUAGGGGUGCUUCCAUCUGGAAGAAUCUGGAGACAGGUGCUGCAUGGCUGUCGUCAGCUCGUGUCGUGAGAUGUUGGGUUAAGUCCCGCAACGAGCGCAACCCUUGCCUUUAGUUGCCAGCAGUUCGGCUGGGCACUCUAAAGGGACUGCCGGUGUUAAACCGGAGGAAGGUGGGGAUGACGUCAAGUCCUCAUGGCCUUUAUGACCAGGGCUACACACGUACUACAAUGGCCGAUACAAAGGGCAGCGACACUGCGAGGUGAAGCCAAUCCCGUAAAAUCGGUCUCAGUCCGGAUUGGAGUCUGCAACUCGACUCCAUGAAGUUGGAAUCGCUAGUAAUCGUGGAUCAGCAUGCCACGGUGAAUACGUUCCCGGGCCUU